rnacentral:rRNA from 1 species
AGAAUCAACGCUGGCGGCGUGCCUCAGACAUGCAAGUCGAACGCGAAAGUUCCCUUCGGGGAACAAGUAGAGUGGCGCACGGGUGAGUAACACGUAGGUAAUCUACCUUUGGAUAGGGAAUAACAACCGGAAACGGUUGCUAAUACCGCAUGAUGCAGCGGCACCUAAUGGUGACAGUUGUUAAAGCGGGGGAUCGAAAGACCUCGCGUCUGAAGAGGAGCCUGCGGCGGAUUAGCUAGUUGGUAAGGUAAUGGCUUACCAAGGCUACAAUCC